UCGGGAAUUUUGGGCAAUGGGGGAAACCCUGACCCAGCAACGCCGCGUGAAGGAUGAAGUAUUUCGGUAUGUAAACUUCGAAAGAAUAGGAAGAAUAAAUGACGGUACUAUUUUAUAAGGUCCGGCUAACUACGUGCCAGCAGCCGCGGUAAUACGUAGGGACCAAGCGUUGUUCGGAUUUACUGGGCGUAAAGGGCGCGUAGGCGGCAUGACAAGUCACUUGUGAAAUCUCUGGGCUUAACCCAGAACGGCCAAGUGAUACUGUCGCGCUAGAGUGCAGAAGGGGCAAUCGGAAUUCUUGGUGUAGCGGUGAAAUGCGUAGAUAUCAAGAGGAACACCUGAGGUGAAGACGGGUUGCUGGGCUGACACUGACGCUGAGGCGCGAAAGCCAGGGGAGCAAACGGGAUUAGAUACCCCGGUAGUCC
rnacentral:rRNA from 1 species